rnacentral:rRNA from 1 species
AUACGAAGGGAGCUAGCGUUGUUCGGAAUUACUGGGCGAAAAGCGCACGUAGGCGGACUUGUUAGUCAGGGGUGAAAUCCCGGGGCCCAACCUCGGAACUGCCUUUGAUACUGCAAGUCUGGAGUCCGGAAGAGGUGGGUGGAAUUCCUAGUGUAGAGGUGAAAUUCGUAGAUAUUAGGAAGAACACCGGUGGCGAAGGCGGCCCACUGGUCCGGUACUGACGCUGAGGUGCGAAAGCGUGGGGAGCAAACAGGAUUAGAUACCCCAGUAGUCC